UACCCCAUACAUACAUCUGCCCCAUGCAUACAUCUGUCACUCUCAACAAAAGCAGUUUUUUUCGUUCAUGUAGAACUAGUUGCUGGUGGCUGAAUGUUUUCGGACGCUCCGUGCCAAAUUAUCCCCAUGAAAUUCGUCGUUAAUCUAGUGCGCUGUAAUCAGUGAAUAGAUGUCUAUUCCUUACCAUGACAAUUCGGACACUUCGGAAAUAUUUUCCUAACUUCAUCAUCCUGCAGGACACUUCCGUAUGCAUAAGCACUGCUCCAGGUGGUAACGAUUCCCAGGUAAUCGCCGUGCUCAGUGGAAGCAGAUUGAACCGAAUUCAUCGGAGAUAUUUAUCUACAUCUACUUCAAGAUUAAUUACAAUGAAGACCUAUAGCCGAAAGCAUUUUCUUUCGGCGUUGAAUUCACUUAUAUCUGCGAUGCGUUUGUUUAGUUAACUACGCAAUUACUUUGAAGUUUAUUCAACUGGCCGCAAUGGGGGAAGGUGUGGGUUCUGAUGCAAUGUUCAUCUAUAGGUUAACCAUACUAAAGAUUGAGAUGACUCCCAGCGAGACGGUCUACAUUGAUGCACUAGAAAGUUUGUUGGAAAUUUGGCUGUACGUGUUGGAUGGCAAAGAGAACUGCCCGGUGGAAGUUAUGAUACCGUUUAUGACGUUUAUAUUUAUAUGAAAAAUAUAACCAGUCUAAUAUUAAAUCUCCGGAUCGCAUACGCGGUAUCGGUCGGGAUUACAAUCCGAUAGAUGAAAAAUGAAGAAUUUUAUAAUUACGUUCUGGAGUGUUUUAAGAAGCAAUUUGUAAUAAUCAGUAACUUAGGGUAAGAUAUUCUGGCAGAAAUGUGUUGAAUUCAAUAAAGAUAAUGCGCACCUCCA